CCUCCUGUGUUUCAGUGCCCUUCAUUGAGCUCACAGCAGGGAAAUCUAAUACAUGCAUUGUACUCCAUGAAUAUAAACAAUUAUUAUGUGUCAAUCAAAUAAAUACAGUUUAUAGAAAGCCAAACAAUGAAACAAAACCAAAGCCAACUCAGACAAGGGUGGAGCUUCCCCUGGGUGUAGAAAUCCCGCUAUAGCACAGAGAGGGCAGCUGGGUGUUUGAAGCUGCUGGUUGUCGGUAGGAGCAGACAUUCCUGGAACCUGCCCGCACAUGCGGGGACUGGUCCUGGGAUGUUCGCAGGGGCGCCUCCCUCUCCCGCCCUUCUCCAAGGCGACAGUCGGGUUCAUUUUGGGCUAAACUGGGAGGGGGAGAGGAAAGCACAGCCCAUGCUCAUCUGAGGAGGAGUCUCCCCACUUCUCCACUGUGGCUCCGCCCGGGUGGGAAGGAGAGAGCCUUUGGCACAGGGGUGUGCGUGUGAAGUCGGGUCUCAUCCAGGUGCCUGCGCUUCUUCCAAGCUUCUUUACAUAUGGAAUCCAGUGUGUUCUUGAAUGUAAUCUGCCCAGGCGAAAAUGUGGUCACCGGGUGACUCUCACCAUCUACCAGUGAACAACUGACAUGUCCAGAUCCUAAUGAAAACUCCCAAGCGCAGGAAAACGAGGACCACGUGUCCACGGCCUGUUGACGGGAGCGGGGGACGCGGGCGUCUGGGCUUGGCCGCCAGGCACAGCUGCGUGGGCAGCGGCGCUCGCUAGCCCGGCCUGCCCCGUCCUGCGGCUUCUUUACACACGGUGGGUUCCAGUCUCUUCAAGUCAGGACUCUCCUCUUCCUGAGAGUCUGAUUCGAGUUCUGGGCCCUCACUUCUGAAACGUGCGGCGGACACUCACCUGCUGGAGCCCCGGGUCAAUCGGGUGCCGAGGUGGACCUCGAGCGUGCAGCCUUUGGGUGCUCGCCGGCUGGACUCGAACUCUGUGCUCUGACAUGAUGAAAUGGAGUGAGCUGCGAGGCGGCCUAUGAUCACAGCCAACCGUGAGAAUGCUGAUGUCUUCGUGCACUGCAUUCGCCACUUACAAACUCGGCCCUAGGGCCGGGGUUUAGUUCAGUGGUGCCGCCGCCUGCCCUGCAAGUGCAAGGACCGAGUUCGAUCUCCGGUACCAAAAAGAAAAAAAUAUCAUCACUGAGACUGCUGGGUGAUAUUGCGGCAGACAAUCCCUUUUGUGGGGACCACUCUGAAAUAUGGCCCUUCUGUUGCUUAAUCUAAAAUACCUUUUUUAUUCUUGUUUUGGUCGAGUGGUGUAUUUUGAAAAGUCCUGCAUGCCUAUUCUUUGCAGGGCAGGAAUUUUGGGUUGCAGGCUACAUAGAGGGCCCUUUGCAUUAUGUGACCUGAAACCACAUUUCUCCCCAAGUACUCUUUGGAACUUUCUCCUAAA